rnacentral:rRNA from 1 species
UAAACUACGAUUAGAUACCCUAUUAUUUUAGAUGUAAAAUUUGUUAAAACUUGAGUAGUAAUAGUUAUGGGCUUGAAACUCAAAGAAUUUGGCGGUAUUUUAGUCUUUUUAGAGGAAUCUGCCCCGUGAUUGAUAAUCCACAUUAUAUCAUUCUUUAAUUUGUAUAUACAGCUUGUAUACCGCCGUUAUCAGAAUAUUUUAUUAGAAUAUUAAUAUUCAUUAUUUUAAUUUAGAUUUAUUUCAGGUCAAGGUGCAGUUUAUAUUGAAGGGGAGGUGGAUUACAAUAAAUUUAUUUAUAUGGAUUAUGAUUUGUAAUAGUCGUUUAAAGGUGGAUUUAAUAGUAAAUUUAAUUAAUAUCUUAGUUUGAUUUUGCUCUAAAAUAUGCACACAUCG